GUAGAUGUAUCUCAGUUGAUAGAGUGCUUGUCUGGCAUGCAUAAGGCCCUGGGUUCAAUCUCCAGCACACACA
rnacentral:tRNA from 1 species